rnacentral:rRNA from 1 species
GUAACGGCGAGUGAAGAGGGAAGAGCCCAAGAUUGAAAGCUGGCGUCUUCGGCGUCCGCAUUGUAAUCUCAAGAAGUGUUUUCCGCUUCGGACCAUGCCUAAGUCCCUUGGAAAAGGGCAUCAUAGAGGGUGAUAAUCCCGUACAUGGCAUGGAGCGCCCGAGGCUUUGUGAUACGCUUUCUAAGAGUCGAGUUGUUUGGGAAUGCAGCUCAAAAUGGGUGGUAAAUGCCAUCUAAGGCUAAAUAUUGGGGAGAGACCGAUAGCGAACAAGUACAGUGAUGGAAAGAUGAAAAGAACUUUGAAAAGAGAGUUAAACAGUACGUGAAAUUGCCAAAAGGGAAGGGUAGGAGGUCAGAGAUGCGUCUUGGGAUUCAGCCUUGCUUUUGCUUGGUGUUUUUCCCAAGUUGCAGGCCAACGUCGGUUUUGGGCACUGGAGAAGGGUGGAAGGAACGUGGCACCUCUCGGGGUGUGUUAUAGCCUUCUACUGGAUACAGCGACCGAGACCGAGGACAGCAGCGUACUCGCAAGAGCGGGCCUUCGGGCACCUUUACGCUUAGGGCGUUGGCAUAAUGGCCCUCUACCACCCGUCUUAAACACCGGGACCA